rnacentral:rRNA from 1 species
UACGUAGGGUGCAAGCGUUGUCCGGAAUUUAUUGGGCGUAAAGAGCUCGUAGGCGGUCUGUCACGUCGGCUGUGAAAACCCGAGGCUCAACCUCGGGCCUGCAGUCGAUACGGGCAAACUAGAGUACUGCAGGGGAGACUGGAAUUCCUGGUGUAGCGGUGAAAUGCGCAGAUAUCAGGAGGAACACCGGUGGCGAAGGCGGGUCUCUGGGCAGUAACUGACGCUGGAGGAGCGAAAGCGUGGGGAGCGAACAGG